rnacentral:lncRNA from 1 species
AACAAGCAACGAAUUUUUUCUUUCAUAUGUAGAUUGUCACUUCCCCUCAUUAAGCUAGCUAGCGGUAGCGCAAGUGUCAGAAAGGAAAAAAUGGAUGAUAGUCAAGUCGGCAGUUUCCUUUGUUUUUUCUGCCUAACCAAGCACACAAGUCCUGCUUCUUAUGGUAUAAGAAAGUCUCUUCUUAUAAGGAUUUAAGUCAAUUGGUGCAAGCUAGGUAAGCGCUCACGUACUACUAAUAGAGGUAAGACAGGCGUUUACGGGCUAGCUGGGGAAGGUUUAAUGUUUUCUAAUUGGUAACCUUGUGCCAAAGCAUCUAAGGUGGGUAGAAGGCCUUUUCUUUCCGCCUACUUUAGUAGUGCCUUGCAUCUAUGCUUGGGCAACAAAAGAAGAGUUAGAGCGGGCGAAGUAAGAACCCCAUAUGGGCCAUCUUCAAAGGGGCGUAGCGCUUGCUUACUCGAAAGAGUAAGGACUGAGGUGCGUAGCGAAACUUUUGAAGCCAAAGUACUGAGGACGCCCUACUUAA